rnacentral:rRNA from 1 species
CUACGGGCUGCACCAGUCGAGAAUAUUCGACAAUGGGCGAAAGCCUGAUCGAGCGACGCCGCGUGCAGGAAGACGGCCUUCGGGUUGUAAACUGCUUUUGCGUGGGAAGAAUUUUGACGGUACCACGAGAAUAAGGGGUUGCUAACUCUGUGCCAGCAGCAGCGGUAAUACAGAGACCCCAAGCGUUAUCCGGAAUUACUGGGCGUAAAGCGCGAGCAGCCGGUCGUGUUAGUCUGAUGUCAAAUCAUGGGGCCCGACUCCAUGCCCGCAUCGGAAACGGCACGGCUAGAGUAGGUAAGAGGGGAGCGGAACGUAUGGUGUAGGGGUGAAAUCCACUGAUAUCAUACGGAACACCAAAAGCGAAGGCAGCUCCCUAGUGCCUUACUGACGGUAUAUCGCGAAAGCGUGGGGAUCAAAAAGGAUUAGAUACCCGAGUAGUC